GACGAACGCUGGCGGCGUGCCUAAUACAUGCAAGUUGAGCGCUGAAGGUUGGUACUUGUACCAACUGGAUGAGCAGCGAACGGGUGAGUAACGCGUGGGGAAUCUGCCUUUGAGCGGGGGACAACAUUUGGAAACGAAUGCUAAUACCGCAUAAAAACUUUAAACACAAGUUUUAAGUUUGAAAGAUGCAAUUGCAUCACUCAAAGAUGAUCCCGCGUUGUAUUAGCUAGUUGGUGAGGUAAAGGCUCACCAAGGCGAUGAUACAUAGCCGACCUGAGAGGGUGAUCGGCCACAUUGGGACUGAGACACGGCCCAAACGCCUACGGGAGGCAGCAGUAGGGAAUCUUCGGCAAUGGACGAAAGUCUGAACGAGCAACGCCGCGUGAGUGAAGAAGGGUUUCGGAUCGUAAAACUCUGUUGGUAGAGAAGAACGUUGGUGAGAGUGGAAAGCUCAUCAAGUGACGGUAACUACCCAGAAAGGGACGGCUAACUACGUG
rnacentral:rRNA from 1 species